rnacentral:lncRNA from 1 species
GCUUGUUUGAGAAUAUUCACAAACGUUGAUUUCCCAGCAGCGAUGUUGCCCUCGACGGCGAUCUUCUUCACCCUGCCCUCCAGCCGCCCGCGCUUGGGGGGAGUCGCCAUGGAGUCGAGAGGAGACGCACGCACCACGCCCGCGCCAGCCGCUAACGGACGCAACGGAAAUAACCGUCGCCCCUUCCGCCGCCGCGCUCGCGCCCGGCCCGCGCCCGCGUUCGAAUUUGCCGCGCGCCCGCUCGGCCCUGUCGCUGGGGGGCUUUGACGUCACGGCGGCGCCUACGAGCGGCCGCGAGGGCCACGGGGAGCGGGGGGGGGAGGAGGCGCGGGCCGCGAGAGAAGGAAAGGCCGAGGGCGGUCGUGGUCAAACAUAGCUAUUUUAUUGCCUCUUAUAAACAGCCUUCAGCUUCUUGUUGAAAAAACCUAGAAUUUAAAUAUUUUGUCCCGUCACAUACAACAAUCUGUGUACAUUAUUUACAACUCUCGAACACGGUGCGGAUUUUCAGACAUUCAGUUUUGUUGUUGUAAAUCAGAAGCCGUUCUCACUUAAAACCGAAAUAGCGACCGGUGCCCGGGAAGGGAACGCCAUUGGCACGGCGAGCGUACAGCAAAGGGCUCUGCUCUCACAUUCCCCAUUUUGCACUGUCUUUUCUCCCGGACGUUGAAAGACCGCACACCAGGAGGCUGUGUUAGCGUCGCUUCCGUACUAUUCUGUUUUUCUCCUGUUGAAGCCUCCCUCUCCCUGCGUUCCCCUCUCCCCACACGCUGAGGGACGCUGAGGCGGGCGGCCGUCCCACAGCGCAGCCCGGGAGCGGCGUUCCCUCCGCGGCACCGCUCCCACAGCGGCACGAGCUGCCAGCUUACAAAAAUAACGAGCUUAGCUUAGUGGCUAUAAAAAUUAAUUUCCCCUAAAAAUACGAUACUCUAUGAACGGUUCGGGGAAGUCGUUUCUAAAGCAGAAGCAAUCCGAUGUUUAUCUAGACUGCAAUCUUAACCUGGUUCUAUGGAAGCGGGAAGAAAAGCAGGGCAGUGCAGAGGUUCAGCGCUUAUAAAGACAAAUGUUAGCCUCGGCUUGCAAGGGAAGACAGCCAGGAAAAGAGGGCAGGCGUUCACCAAACUGCUCGUGGCUUUACUAGGGCAGUCUGGAAAGGAAGAAAUCAAACAGGGAUGAAGGAAACAAGAUUCAGAGUAAAGUGAUUCUCAGUGAAAGAAAAGCAAGGAGUCUGUAUUCACACUGCACCUUUUUAAGUAGUCCAACUAAAAGAGGGGGGGGUUUAUACACAGCCAUAGGGCACUCUGGCAGGUAGGAAGGGGAGAGAGGCUGGUAAGAAAAAGAGCUACCCAAAAAAGGAUGCGUUAAGAAUAAAAUUGUGUCACAUGGUUCAAGAGAAGGGGGAGGCGAGAAACAGAAAGGAACAGUCUGAAAGGUACGUCAAGUCUAUAGCAGCAAAUAGGUACCCUUUACCUGUUAAAGGAGCAUCAGGGAGAUUGGAGCGCUCAGCCCUAAAGGACAGCGCUCCUUUCUAUCUGGAAGUAAAAGCUAAAGUUCAAAGCUCCACAUUGCAUAGUAAGCAGUUAAAGAAACUUGGUACUUGCAGACGGGCUGUCAGCCCUUUGAAACCUGUUUUCUCCUCUCAGCUACCUGCAACAGGAAAAUGUGGCAUUUUUUUAAUUGCAAUUAAAAUCAAGCUUGUAUCCCUGACUUGAAUGUAAAAGACCACAAGCACAACAUACCCAACACCAUCUCAACGGUGUCAACACUGCCAACGGUGACCCAAUGUGAUCAACUUCACAGUUUGCCC